AUUGAACGCUGGCGGCAGGCCUAACACAUGCAAGUCGAACGAGUGGCGGACGGGUGAGUAAUGUCUGGGAAACUGCCCGAUGGAGGGGGAUAACUACUGGAAACGGUAGCUAAUACCGCAUACCAUCGGAUGUGCCCAGAUGGGAUUAGCUAGUGGGUGGGGUAACGGCUCACCUAGGCGACGAUCCCUAGCUGGUCUGGGAGGAUGGCCAGCCACACUGGAGCGGAGGCACGGUCCAGACUCCUACGGGAGGCAGCAGUGGGGGAUAUUGCACAAUGGGCGCAAGCCUGGUACGACCAUGCCGGGUGUAUGAAGAAGGCAUUCGGGUUGUAAAGUACUUUCAGCGGGGAGGCGUUACCCGCAGAAGAAGCACCGGCUAACUCCGUGCCAGCAGCCGCGGUAAUUC
rnacentral:rRNA from 1 species